CCCUACUACCAGCUUCUUACAAAUUACUACAACAAUCUAUUUUUUUUCCCUUUCUUUCUUUUCGCAAAACAAAACGCACCUUAGCUUACACUUUCUCUCUCUUCCAAGCUUCCCUUCUUCCAUUUUCUCUCUCUUCAAAAUCAGCUUUGCCAUUUCUGUAAAAUUGCUUGAAUUCUUCUUCAAUGGCAAGAACUCGAGGUGGUGGCACAUUUCACCGGAGAAGAGGCCUUCGUUCUUCAGCAACAAAAGUAGAUCAACCACUUUCUAGUAUAAUCUUUGUUUAUCAUUUGAUUUCUGCAGUUUUGAGCUGAUUAAUUGAUCAACCACUUCAGCUACAAAAGGAAAUUACUAUUUGCAUGAAUUUUUGUUUGAAUUUUGUUUCGUAUUGAAGAUUAUUUGAAAAUCUAGGGUUUUUCGAUGUUCGAUUGUUUUCUCUGUUUAUUGUUUGAUUGAACACAUAAAACCACAAUAAAUGUUCGAUUGAAUUUUGUUUCGAUUGUUUAGCUGUUUGUUUUCUCGUUGAAUUUUGAUUGAUUUUAAUUUUUUUCAUGAUUUAGUUGUUUUCGUUGUUGAUUUAUUGUUUUUGAGUUUAGUUCCAGUACUUGAUGAUGAUUUGUACUUGAUGAUGUUUUGUACUCGAUGAUGAUUUGUGCUCGAUGAUGUUUUCGCUGUUAAUUCAUUAGUUUUUAUGUCUUUGUUGUUUGAAUGAAGUUUACUGAAUUUUCGAGCUUAGAUACUUUGGUUACUGGCCUGCAUUAUGUAAUUUGUAAUGGUUCUAUUUUUUAGGGUUGAUUCUUGUGAUUUUCUGGUCAUUUUUGUUUUAGAAAGGCCACUAUAAUUUACAUUUUGAUUUCUUUUGUAUAAUAAUGGUGCCCAAUGCUUGAAGAAGAAAACUAGAGCUAACAAGAAAAAGAGUGUUGCUAUAGAGGUUCAUGAAAAUGUUCUUGAGCAACAAGUUUCUGCAAUUGGUUCACCUUCGUCUCGUCGUAAGAGAAAUCAUGAAGAUGAAGCUAAAGCUGCUGCUCUUGUUCAUCCUAAGAAGCCAAGGAUAAGAACGAAGAAAUCGAUAGUUGAAGUUGGUGGUGAUGUACUUACGUAAAUAACUUUAUUUACUUUGGAGUGCUCUCAAAAAGUUAGAUUCAAAAUGUAUGUUGGUGUGACUAUGCAAAUUUGGGACUGGAUUGUGGUUAAGUUGUGCUUCUUUGACCUUUAAUUAUUGGGCACUAAUUUGAACUUGUCAGACUGCAUUGAUUUUUUGAUUUGUUAACUUGAUGUUGAUUUAAUGUUGAUAGCAUUAUUAUUUCUACUUUCUAGAUUGCGGCCAUUUUAAACUAAAUGUAGGCCUUUGCAUUUGGUUGACAUGAUGUCUAACUUUACUCUUGAUCAAAACAAUUCUGUAAAUGAAAUCGGUUUUAGAGGUUUGUUAUCAUUGAAGUUGAAAAGGAAUGCUACUAGUAUGUACAGGUGGCUAAUUGAUUCUUUUGAUUGUGGUAGCUUCAUGUUUUGAAUCAAUAAUAAUAAGGAGUUUGUGGUGACUGAGUAUGAUGUGUAUGACGUGUUUUGCCUUCCUUUGAACCCCAAAAAUGUUGAGGAGAUACCUAGAUCUGCUAAUAAAAAUAAUUCAGACUUUGUUUUCAAACAUAAUUAGAGAUUGCAUUUUGGGUUGACAGAUGACAAUGAUCAAAUUCCACUUAAUUUGUUAGAAACUAGGAUACCUACUUUAGGUCAAGGUGGAGAUGAGUUUAAGCAACUCUUUAUUAUGCAUGCAAUAUCCACGUUUUUAGCUCCUACUUCUAACAGAACCACUGAUCUUAGGAUUGUCAAGGCACUUGAUGAUGUUGAACAAAUUAAGAAUUUGAAUUGGUGUAAAUAUAUUCUUGAAAAACUGUGUGAAGGUGUUAAAAAUUACAUAAAAGGAGAAAUUCAGAACUGUUGUGGUUGUAUUUUGAUGUUGGAGAUUAUUUACUUCCAUAGGUUGAAAUUUAGGAAUGUUGAAUUAAGUACUUCUUUACCCUUAAUUCAACAUUGAAAUCAUGAGUUGAUUAGGGAUAGAAUUAAGAAGGAAAAAUUGUCCAAAUGUUUUGGGUGUGAGAUUUUACUCUCUGAUGUGUAUCCUGUUAGUGGUAAAUUGAAGUUUCUGGAUGGACAUGUUGUGGGUACUGCAGGGAAAAGUAUGGGGAAUGUUACGUUGUGGGGAUUGAUAAUGUUGUGAGGAAUGUCGGGGGGAGUGUUGAUGUGCUUGAUUCCCAGGGUACAAUACAGCUCAUUCUCCCACCAUGUUCGAUGUCAGAUUAAGAGAUCCAUUUGGCUGCUAUUGAUCCCGUUCAUGAGCAAUUUUUGUUCAUGAAAAGAGAUAUGCAUGUGAUUUCUUGUUUUUACAAUGACAAGAUAAAAGAGAUUCUUCUUUCACGUGGUGAGGCCAACAACUCUCCUAGUAUUAAUUUGUCCCAGAAUAAUUCGUUUUUUUAUGGAUCCUCGAGUUCAAUCUGUGAUUGACGAGAUCUCCGGACUUGCUAUUUGGUGACAAAAUUACCCGAGGUGUUGGAUCAAAUUUUUACAUUUGACCACAACAAAACAAAUAGAGGGAGAAAGGUUAUUAGAGGCACUUUGCCUGUGAUUGGCUUUGAAAAUAUUCUUGCAAAUGGAGGGUCCAGGUGUUUGUUUUCUUUGGAUUGAAAAUCUGGUGAAAAGCUUAUACUUAUUUCACACUUUUUGAAGUUAAAUAACAAGGAAAUGAAGCUAUUGGAUUCAUUAGUCCUAGAGAUUGUUGACUAUUGCAUUAUUAAUGAUUCUUGUUUGGCUCCUAAGUAAGUAACCUUUUGUUUAAUUACAUUGAUUUUCUCUUAUUUAUUUAUUUAUGAAACACCUUUUUAAUUCUUAUUUUAUACUCUUUGACUCAGUGAACUGUUGGUAUUUUUUCACGAAAAGCAUUUGAUUCAAAGGCAAGAAUUCUACACAUUAAUUAGGAGAGCCUUCUGAAAUCAUGAGCAGUAGUAUUUUGGAUUGCUCGGCAUUGCUUCUCAAAGAAAAUCAUAAAUAUUUAAAGGAUGGACCUCGAAAAUUGUACUUUGGUUCUUCAAUUAGUGUUACAAUAGUAGAAGCUGCCGGCAGUGAUGGCAAUUCACAACUAAUGGACAAUGUUUAUCAAGGUUUGGAGGAGUGGAUGACAAGAGCUUGCAAUGAUUUUGAUUUGUCAGAAAUGGAGCUGGUAAUACUUUCUAUUUUUUUAUGCUUUGAAAAAUAUAGUUCCUUUUUUUUUAUGUAUAGAUACCUUUUUUGAAAUGAGAGUGACUAUUGAAAAUUGCAUAAGUAUAUUUUUAAAAGAGGUCACUAUAAUAUUAAAAAUGGAAUCUAUAUGUGUUUUUUUUUAUUCAGACUAAUGGUGGUAUUAUUGUUGCAAAUAUUUUUACCUUGUCUUUGGGGCAAUCACUAUUGCUUAUUUGUGGUGAAUUUGACUAAAGGAAAAAUUCAGUUUAUUGAUAAUCUGAAUUAUGAUGAGGAUAAUUGUAUCUUUUUGAAAAAGUUGUCUAGUCUCCUGGUAUUACUUUCUCACUCUUUUCACAAUUAAGUUUAUUGUUUAUUGUUUGUAUUGACUUGUUCAUAGUGAGCCAAACAUUCUCUCUCUUUUCUUGUCUGGUGUUUUGGAUUUUAUUCCGGGCAUUUUUGUUUAAAUCACUUUUUAUCAUCUUUUUAAGACCCUUUCUUUUUACUAUCGCAUUGCUUAUGUGGCUGUUGUGAUGCUUCCUGUUGUGAUAGCAGGAGUAUGGCUAUCAUCUGAUCUGUUAUUAGGAUCUGAUCUCUCUUGAACUUGAUCUGCACUUUGUGUGGUCUGAACUUUGUUAGGCAACAUUG